CUAGGCACACAGCUCAGUAGCACGUGGCUAACCUGCCCUUGGGACGGGAACACCCCGGGAAACUGGGGCUAAUUCCCGAUAGGUGAAGAUCCCUGGAAUGGGUUUUCGCCCAAAAGGCGUCUAGGUCAUGCUUCUGGACGUUGCCCAAGGGUGGGGCCGCGGCCGAUCAGGUUGUUGGUGAGGUAAUGGCUCACCAAGCCUUUGACCGGUUCGGGCCGUGGGAGCGGUAGCCCGGAGAUGGGCACUGAGACAAGGGCCCAGGUCCUACGGGGCGCAGCAGUCGCGCAAACUUUGCAAUACACGAAAGUGUGACAGGGCUAUCCCGAGUGCCGUCCGCUGAGGGUGGCUUUUACCCAGUCUAGAAAGCUGGGAGAAUAAGGAGAGGGCAAGUCUGGUGUCAGCCGCCGCGGUAAUACCAGCUCUCCGAGUGGUGUGGAUGUUUAUUGGGCCUAAAGCAUCCGUAGCUUGCCAAGCAAGUCCCCUGUUAAACCCAACGAAUCAAUCGUUGGAUUGCGGGGGAUACUGCUCGGCUAGGGGACGAGAGAGGCCGACGGUAUUCUCGGGGUAGGGGUGAAAUCCUAUAAUCCCGGGAAGACCACCAGUGGCGAAGGCUGUCGGCUAGAACGCGCCCGACGGUGAGGGAUGAAAGCUGGGGGAGCGAACCGGAUUAGAUACCCGGGUAGUCCCAGCUGUAAACGAUGCAGGCUAGGUGUUUGGACGGCCACGUGCCGUUCUAGUGCCGCAGGGAAGCUGUUAAGCCUGCCGCCUGGGGAGAACGAUCGCAAGAUUGAACUUAAAGGCAC
rnacentral:rRNA from 1 species